AAAGUGCGAAAAGUGAUGCGAUUUGCAUGAAUCUGUGAGUCAUCUAAUUUUUGAACGCGAAUGGCACUGUUAUGUAAGUAACAGUAUGUCUGUUUGAGAAUCGCAAAACACGAUCAACUCUAGUUAAGAGUUGGGAAUAAUGACCUUACAUAGUGAUGUGUUUGGUUUGAAUAAAUAGGUUGAUGAGUUCCCCAACACGGCUCAAUGUGUGCUAGCGAGACAGUCGUCCCGAUCUCACAUUUCGGCUGCGUUGCAGAGUUCUAUCCAACAACCUCUUACCUAUCAAAUACGAUCUCAAAUCAGGCAAGAUUACCCGCUGAACUUAA
rnacentral:misc_RNA from 1 species